rnacentral:rRNA from 1 species
AAGAGACAGCAGUAGCCGCGGGAAAACGGAGGAUCCAAGCGUUAUCCGGAAUCAUUGGGUUUAAAGGGUCCGUAGGCGGUCUUGUAAGUCAGUGGUGAAAGCCCAUCGCUCAACGGUGGAACGGCCAUUGAUACUGCAGGACUUGAAUUAUUGGGAAGUAACUAGAAUAUGUAGUGUAGCGGUGAAAUGCUUAGAGAUUACAUGGAAUACCAAUUGCGAAGGCAGGUUACUACCAAUUGAUUGACGCUGAUGGACGAAAGCGUGGGUAGCGAACAGGAUUAGAUACCCCCGUAGUCCCUGUCUCUUAUAU